AACGCACGGUUAAAGGAGCCUAGGAUGACAGGGUCUCAGGUACAGCUGCUGGGGACUCUGGCUCCUGUCAGACUAAAAAUUGGAAAGAAACAAGCGAAGUCAAUUUUGGUGGCACACGCCUGUAUGUACUUUUAGAACUUGCAAGAGCCCGGGAGCCAGCCUGUCUCAGAAUAAGGAGUUUUGGAGAAGGGAGGACUUCCUUACCCCUCAAAUCUGCUUUCAAUACGCUUAAGGUAGCACAUGAUAAUUUGACUUGGCCAGCGUUCUGUUGCUGUGAAGAGACACCAUGGCUUUAUAUUGGGACUGGUUUACAGUUUCAGAGGGUGAGUCCAUUAUUAGCCUGGCGGGAAGAGUGGUGGCAUGCCAGCAGACAUGGUGCUCGAAAGGAGGUUGAGAGUUUUAUAUCCAAUC